ACCAUCCGUUCAGGUUUGCCUGGGACUGAGGUAUUCCCAGGAUGUGGGACUUUCAGUGCUAAAACCAGGAGAGG
rnacentral:miRNA from 1 species